rnacentral:rRNA from 1 species
UACGUAGGUGGCAAGCGUUGUCCGGAUUUACUGGGCGUAAAGAGCGCGCAGGCGGUCGUUCAAGUCGCGUGUGAAAGCCCCCGGCUCAACUGGGGAGGGUCACGCGAUACUGAUCGACUCGAAGGCAGGAGAGGGAAGUGGAAUUCCCGGUGUAGUGGUGAAAUGCGUAGAUAUCAGGAGGAACACCAGCGGCGAAGGCGGUGCUCUGGGCCGGAACUGACGCUGAGGAGCGAAAGCGUGGGGAGCGAACAGG